rnacentral:rRNA from 1 species
UGAGCAAUCUGCCCUUCUCAUCGGAAUAAGCGUUGGAAACGACGUCUAAUGCCGAAUACGACCUCCUUUCGCAUGAUCGGAGGUGGAAAGCUCCGGCGGAGAAGGAUGAGCUCGCGGCCUAUCAGCUAGUUGGUGAGGUAAUGGCUCACCAAGGCGACGACGGAUAGCCGGCCUGAGAGGGCGACCGGCCACACUGGGACUGAGACACGGCCCAGACCUCUACGGGAGG